UGAUUGUAAGAAUGUUCUUAAUUCUCAAAUCUAGAACAGCUCAAUAUCUUAUUGAGACCAAAGAGUGUGAGAGAAGGGGAGAGAAGAGAAGGUGACUGUUAAAUCCUGGGAGGAGCUUGGCCAGAAGAAACCUAGCAGUCCUGAGGAGAUAGGUCUCCUGAAUACGUUCAGCUGUUCCUUAGUCUCUUCAAGAGACCAGGAAGUAGAAGAAAAUGAAGAACUUGGAGCCAGAAGUCAGUCUCUGCCAACAGGAACAAUGGGUGCAAUUGUGCUUUUCACAAAGCAGCAACUGCUCUCCAGGAGGAUGAAAUGAAAGCAUGUGUGUGCUAUUGCAAUCAUGAGGAUCUCAGCAUGGGGACUUCCGGAUGGACAAUUCCAGAAUCUUAGGGUGCUGGGAAGAUUAUCCUUCCAGAGAGAUUCUAUAGCAAAAGUCAGAGAGUGGCUAGUUGUUGGGUGAGCUCUCCAAGCAAGAGAAAAUGCAGGUGCCUACCUGCCCAUGGCCCUUCAGGUGGUCUUGUGAUCCGCUACUCCUGGCCACAGCUCACUGGAUCUUCAGGUCCACUGAGCACAAAUUUCUGGGACCCUCAUAGUUGACGUGCUGUGGACAGUGGGCACAGAGUGGACACUUCAGAGCUGCUGUAGUCGCGUCUCCAAGCCUCUUUCACCGCCACCCCCCCUUGAUUAGUCUAGCUGAGACGGGGGCAAACCUGGAUUCUCCUGUGCUGCACACCUGUCAGGUUUCGGGCAGCUCCAGCACCCACACCGAUGUCUGGGAGGGAUGUGCGCUGAGGCUGUCAGCCGAGCCUUUUUGAGGACUCCCAUGGUCAGAAACCAAGCCUACAGAUGCACUCAGCCAGGUGGCCCAGCUAUUAUCACCUGUCAGAGACCAUGGCAGUCUAUCAGGGAUGGAUCAGAGGAUACAACUUGGAAGGACAAGAUAUUGGUUCAUUCUUAGGAACACAUAUGAACAUUCCUAGGCUUUUUGGAAUGCUUCAUGCCUAGGACCAGAAGGUUGGCAUGCCUGGAAAAUCUGUGACUUGCUUGGUUUGCAUCUCUCUGCUGUGCCAAUGUGCAACUCCUCAGCCCCCUGGAGGUACUAAACAAAGGCACUUUGGGAAGGCUUUUUGUAAAGACCUGGCUGCAAACCUUGUUCUCCCAAGGAGCCAGGCCUGCCAGACCAUCAUCAGGCAAUAGCUGGUAGUCCCUGAGGAAGACAUGAACAAGAAGCCGUUUGAAAGCAUUAUCUUCUAGAAAAUAAAUUUCAAAACAAGGAAGAAACCACAGCUCAGACAGACGUGAGCGGAUGUUCAGUAACCUGGGUUCAUGGGAAGACCAUCAAGAAGAGGUUUUGCACAAUUCUUGCACCUUCCCUUCACGAUUGCUGAGCAGUUUACUCAACCUGAUUUCACCCAGAUUAUUCUGAUGUGACACUGAGUGCGAAGGACAAGGCACUAGAUGGUUUGGUUAAGGUCAAUAUGCCAAGUCAGUAUGAGUCGCGAUUUUGGCUUCUCAAUUCCACUCUCUGAACCUUUUUUCUGUGGAAAUGUAAGCUGGAACCCACCUGAGAUGACCCAGAAAACGCUGAGCGCCAAUCUUCUCCCUAUGCCUCUGAAUGAAUCAGGCAUUCAGGGCUGUGUGGGGCCAGGGCCUUGGGGCAGAGUCCCUGUAAAGGAGAGGUCUCAAGUGACCUGUAAAGGUUGCACAUGUUGCAGACUCCUGCAUUACAUUUUCUUCCACAGCAGGGAAGAGGGAAGAACAGGCCCAGAAAGGCCCAGAAACUCAGGCCAGCCUAGGAGAUAGGGAUGAGGGCUGCUAUCCUGAAAGCAGUCAGGAAUGCAGAGACUGGCUCUCCAGAGAGUACCGUCCUGAGUUCAGGGAGGUAGCUCCCAAGAGAGAAACAUAUAUUCUGAGUCUAGUCAUGCAGAGAAGCAACAAUGCCAUAUGCAGCUCUACAGAAAACAGAACACAAAAAAUGUCUUCCUUUUAAUUACUGAGGGUGUAGGGAAAUAGGAACUCACAUACUCUGCUGGUGGGAAUACAAACUUGGAAAAAUUUGGUUGGUUGGCAACUUAGUAAUGUAUGUUGGAGGCAGAGACAAUGCUUUGCAUUCACCAAACUCUGUGUUUUCUUCCUGGACACAUAGGAAAACUGCAUUUCCCACCCACGGUUGCAGUUAGGAGCAGUCAUGUGAUCGAGUUCCAGACAACUGGAAACUGGGCAGAAGAAAUGUUAUGAGUCAAUUUCAAGUCUAGCCCUAAAACCACCCGUGCAGUUCUCCAUUCUCUCUUUUCCUUCUCCUUCUCUCUCUCUCUCCUGCCCUCUCUCCUGCUCCCUCAUUUUCUCCUUCCCCUUUCGCCUAUCAGCUGAAAUCAGAGGAUCCAUUGAAGAACUCUAAAUCUCUGGAAAAUGGAAAGUCAUCAUAUGAACAAAUCCUGGAUCCAGCAAACUGUAUAGAGCUCCUUCUACCCCACAAACAGAUGACCUACGCUGAACUGUAAAAUAAGAGAGAAAUACAUUUCUUUAUUGUGCUAAGCCAAUGAGAUGGGGAAGGGGGGGCGGUGUUACAACAUUUAGCCUAUCUUGACUGAUGUGAUAUCAAAAUCCUUUAAAAUGUCCAGAAGCUUUGACCUGGCAGUUACAUGCUUUGGAACAUAGCCAAAGGAAAUAAUUAAGAAUAGUCACUAUAGUAUUGAUCAUAAAAGAAAAAAAAAAGUUGUAAAUAACACUAACUUCCAACAAUGAGAGUCAUUAAAGAAUAAUACAACUCUGCAAAGAAAUUUUAUGCACUGAAUAUGAUUGAAAUACAUUUGUUGACAUGAAAAAUUUUCAUGAUAUGUACAUGAGAAAGAACAAAUAACAAAAACAUGGCAAGCAUGAAUCUAUAACCAUUUAUACACAGAUAUACACAGAAAAAUGUCUGGAAAUAUACCACAAUAGCAGUGAUUAUUUCUGGUAAUAGGAUUACAGAUGGCUUUAAAAAAAAGAUUUUAUUUA